rnacentral:rRNA from 1 species
UACGAAGGGUGCAAACGUUGCUCGGAAUUAUUGGGCGUAAAGCGCACGUAGGCGGCAUUGCAAGUCGGAUGUGAAAUCUUAUGGCUUAACCAUAAAAGUGCAUCCGAAACUGCAGUGCUUGAGUACUUAAGAGGAUCGCGGAAUUCCCGGUGUAGAGGUGAAAUUCGUAGAUAUCGGGGGGAACACCAGUGGCGAAGGCGGCGAUCUGGGAAGAUACUGACGCUGAGGUGCGAAAGCGUGGGGAGCAAACAGG